GAUUUCAACUGAAAAAGUUAUCAAUAACAAAGUGGUAUAAUUCAUCAAGAUCUAUAACUUUUAUUUGGGUCAUUUUUUCAUCCGACAAAGCGAUUUGUAACAUUGUUCACAAAAUGUACAUAUCUCUUAUAUAGUUUAUAAAUUAUGAGAGAGAUAUGUAAAUUUUAUGAACAAUGUUACUAUUACUUUAUCGGAUGAAGAAAUGAUCAAAAUAAAAGUUAUAGAUAUUGAUGAGUUAUACAACUUUGAUGUUGAUGACUUUUUCUUUCAGUUGAAAUC
rnacentral:pre_miRNA from 1 species